UCGAGACGGCGGGGUAGAGGCCCGCCGCGGUAACGACGGGUAACGGGGAAUCAGGGGUUCGAUUCCGGAGAGGGAGCCCGAGAAACGGCUACCACUUCCAAGGAAGGCAGCAGGCGCGCAAACUUUACCCUAAUCUCGAUUCGAGGAGGUAGUGACAAGAAAUACCGAUGCGGGGACCCUACGGGGUGCCGCGUUCGGAAUGAGUACGAUUCGAACCACCUAACGAGGAACGAUCGGAGGGCAAGUCUGGUGCCAGCAGCCGCGGUAAUUCCAGCUCCAAUAGCGUACGUUAAAAGUUGCUGCAGUUAAAAAAGCUCGUAGUUGAACGUUCGGGUUCCGCGGGACGGGGCCGCCCCGCGAGGGACGGCGCCGCCCCGGGGCUCGUGAUAUCUCAUCUCGCCGCCCGUCGCGAGGCGGACGGAGGGGAUGGAUGAGGUUACCUGGAAAAAAAUCGGGG
rnacentral:rRNA from 1 species